GACGAACGCUGGCGGCGUGCCUAAUACAUGCAAGUUGAGCGCUGAAGGUUGGUACUUGUACCAACUGGAUGAGCAGCGAACGGGUGAGUAACGCGUGGGGAAUCUGCCUUUGAGCGGGGGACAACAUUUGGAAACGAAUGCUAAUACCGCAUAAAAACUUUAAACACAAGUUUUAAGUUUGAAAGAUGCAAUUGCAUCACUCAAAGAUGAUCCCGCGUUGUAUUAGGUAGUUGGUGAGGUAAAGGCUCACCAAGGCGAUGAUACAUAGCCGACCUGAGAGGGUGAUCGGCCACAUUGGGACUGAGACACGGCCCAAACUCCUACGGGAGGCAGCAGUAGGGAAUCUUCGGCAAUGGACGAAAGUCUGACCGAGGAACGCCGCGUGAGUGAAGAAGGUUUUCGGAUCGUAAAACUCUGUUGGUAGAGAAGAACGUUGGUGAGAGUGGAAAGCUCAUCAAGUGACGGUAACUACCCAGAAAGGGACGGCUAACUACGUG
rnacentral:rRNA from 1 species